GGUGCAGUGACCUAACCCAAGGCUCAGGAAACUACCCAGGGGAACCACAAACACUUCUACGAGAGCCUUAUGAAAUAGAGGGACUGUUACGACUAUUUCCAUAAGCCACAUAGAAGGUAAAUCAGGUUCUAGUUAGUGUUUUCCCUGUCCAUGGCGCAGAGACCUACCGCCAGCCUCAGGAAACUACCCAGGGGAACCACAAUCACUUCUACGAGAGCCUUGUGAAAUAGAAAGAGUGGAAUGUCGAGGCGUUUGAGGAUAUGCGUCCAGGACUAUGUAGGAUGCGCAGCUGAGGUCCUACCAACGCGCAAGCCAGCCAUUCCUCCAACACUAGGAAGUUAUGGUAAAAGUUCUCACCUCCAUCUUUGUGUUCUGAGAGGCGCAGCGUGUACAUGGUUUAUACGCACACACAUACAUACACACAUACAUACAUCCAUAGAGGAGACAUUUUGGGUGUUUACUGUAUACUGAAGUGAUGUUUUUUUUUUAUAUAUAUUUAAAGUGACUGUGGUUUUAACUGUUGGUGAAAUGCUUACUUUGUAUAAUCUAGUUUUGUUAUUUAUGUAUUAUAUUGCUUCUAUUUUUUGUGCUAUUUAUAUUUACAUUUGUGGGUUAAGUUAUUUACAGGCUUUUGUUUAAUCUUAAAGUUCCUAUCUCCGAAAAGUGCUUUGAUAUAUAUUGUUAAGUGUUGACUAUUUCUAUUUUCUUGGAUUUUUAUAACUUUGGGACAAUAAUAAUGACAGUAAUAAUGAUAAAAUAGAUAAUGAAGAUAUAAAUAACUCCCAUUAAUGACCAAAUUGUCCACAAAAAUAAUAUAAAAAUCAGUGAAUUCGAAAACAUUUUACCUGGUUCAAAUUUACUUUUUUUCUAAUUUCCACUUUAAUAAAAAAAUCAAAUUAACAACAACAAAAAAAA